rnacentral:lncRNA from 1 species
CAACAAUUCUAUGAUUGGACUGGGUGUUCAUCAGUAUGUGGAUGAUACCCAGCUCUACCUCUCUUUUAAAUCAGAACCAGUGAAGGCGGUGAAGGUCCUGUGUGUGUCUGGAGGCAGUUGGAGGAUGGAUGGUGGCUAACAGGCCAAGUGGACCACAGGCUCUUAACUACUAAGCCAUGUCUAGGUCACCUGCUCAUAACUUCUCCUUUGUGGAUGAUUCCUGCAGAUCCCCCUCCUUUCCCGGUGCUCAAAGUGGAUCCUCCGUCUGGAGUGGUGAACGAAGGGAGCUCCCUGCGCCUCACUUGCUUGGCCAUGGGACCAUGACUGAGAAGAGAUUCCAUUUCUUCAAGGAUGGUGCUGAGAUGGAACACCAGUCAUGAAGGAUCCAGAGAACCUGCGAAUACCUCACCAAACGCCUCUGUGAGCAUCUUACAAGCCACGGUCAACCACAGUGGAGAAUUUGCUUGCAGUUAUGAGGAAGCGAUUGGUGGCCGAUGGGUUAUGUCUCCGUGGAGCAAGACAGGGAAAGUCGUGGUGAAUGUCCCAGGUCAGGGGCCACAUUCGUCGGCACCACCAUCACCCACACCAAAUCCCUCCCUGUCACUGGGAUAUUUGCGCUCGGCUCCUACGCUCCUGAUCCUGAUGGUCCCGCUCGCUUUCUGUUGAAGGAGAAAGAGGAGCGAAAGAUAAUGUUGGGGCUUUCAGGUGUCCCCUUUUGUUUGGUGCACGACCAGGAAAGCGGUUUCUGAGAUGCAGUGGGGACAGUUUCCAGGAUGGGCCCAAAGUCUAUGUCAGCCCAUGUCUAUCAUUGGGGGGGGGGAGUGUUCCAGAAGAAGGCCUUCUCCAUUCUGGUGGCUGCCAUGGGGGGUCAGGGCAUGGGGUCACCUGCCCUCAGAAAACGAUUGCUUGGUUUUCAUGGAGCAUUGCUUUGCAUUUACAAUACGACCUGUUUGGGUGUUUUCUUUGUCAUUAAAGGAAUCUUUCAAAUAAAUAAGUAAAGCAAAACUUCUUUUGUUUCAGUCUUAAACAAAUGAAACUGUGUAGGUUUCUGGACAGGGUAGGGCCCUACCAGUGCCGGAUUUACGUACAAGGUAUAGCUUAGAGCCCCACUCUCUUGGGGGCCCCCAAAAAAAUUAAAGGGAAAAAACUGGAUGUACGUUUCAAAAAUAUAAGAUAAAAACCUAGAUUAUGAGUCUUUGUAAAUUGUGUUUCUAAAUGAACUUUUGUUAUUGCCAAAUGCCAAUGUGA